rnacentral:piRNA from 1 species
UGCUUCAGCCGUAAAAAGCAAACACUGCCA